UUGCUUAGACUGGGUUGCGUGGUGGAGACUGGAGAGUGGAGAUGACUGGGCUGAACAAAGAAAAAUGCGUGGGUGUGACCUUAUGAGAUCAAAGUAUUCGCCAUCACAACAUGACAGGUAUGUGGACACUUCAGGCUCUAGCUUGAUCUUAAGGUGCCAUAUUUUGAAGGAAAAGUAAACGCCAGUUAAUACAAAUCAUGUUAAGUUUUUGUUGAUAUUAUACACUGCUGUAAAGUGUUCUUUUGAUCAGACUGUUGGUAGAGGGCAACAACCAUGGGACGGAGGGAGUACUUCUCAUGAGGCUAUAACUCUGUAGCUGAUCUGAUUGCUUUUACUUCUGUAUAUGCACUUCACUAUGUAAUCUCACGAACUUCUGUUAUUUCCUUUCCUGUAUUGGCUACAGCUCGACCCUUGCUGAUCUAGAAAGAAAGCCUUGUACCUAUUGUCGGUCCUGCUCCUGUCUCUCUGUCCGAAGAAAUCUAUUAAUUUUUUCUAUAUGGAUGAACCUUUUUUUUAUUUGCGGGGUUUUGCAGCCUAUAGAAUUAUUUUCGUACGGAUCCAUUUGCACAAUUAGUUUACACUAUUGCUUUGUGCAUUGAGUGCAACCGCUUCGGAAUAUUCCUUUACUUUAGCUUUUCAAUACUGUUGAAUUUUAAAGGGAUUUCAAUUAAAGUGACAUAAUACUAGAAAUAUAUGUGUUUUUCUUUCCGUGCUUUGACUGAGUGCAUCCCUGUAGGCAUAGAAGACUAUCUUGUGGCCUCACUCUGGAAAUCUGUUUCUUUAGACAUGGUUGUGAUUUUUUGUCAUAUCACGGAAAUUCAGAUGCCAUUUAAAACCCUAGCUUGAUAGGAAAGAAGUUACAAAACAUAGUAUGGAUAGUAGUUAAUUCAAACCAGGUUGUGGAUAAAACUAUCGCAACUGAAUUUGCUGUUUUGUUUCAUGAGCUGCGCUCUGAAUCUGGACCUAAAACUUCACAAGAUGAUAAACCCUUGUGAGAACAAGAGAAUAACAAGACGGGAAUGCA
rnacentral:lncRNA from 1 species